CGUGUAGGCGGUUUGGUAAGUCUGAUGUGAAAGCCCCGGGCUCAACCUGGGAAGUGCAUUGGAAACUGUCAGACUUGAAUACGGGAGAGGGUAGCGGAAUUCCUGGUGUAGGAGUGAAAUCCGUAGAUAUCAGGAGGAACACCGGUGGCGAAGGCGGCUGCCUGGACCGAUAUUGACGCUGAGACGCGAAAGCGUGGGUAGCAAACAGGAUUAGAUACCCUGGUAGUCCACGCCGUAAACGAUGAGUACUAGGUGUUGCGGGUAUUGACCCCUGCAGUGCCGCAGCUAACGCAUUAAGUACUCCGCCUGGGAAGUACGGUCGCAAGACUAAA
rnacentral:rRNA from 1 species